UACGAAGGGGGCUAGCGUUGCUCGGAAUCACUGGGCGUAAAGGGUGCGUAGGUGGCGCGCUAAGUCGGGUGUGAAAUCUCGGAGCUUAACUCCGAAAUUGCAUUCGAUACUGGCGUGCUUGAGGACUGGAGAGGAGACUGGAAUUCAUGGUGUAGCAGUGAAAUGCGUAGAGAUCAUGAGGAAGACCAGUGGCGAAGGCGGGUCUCUGGGCCAUAACUGACGCUGGAGGAGCGAAAGCGUGGGGAGCGAACAGG
rnacentral:rRNA from 1 species